rnacentral:tRNA from 1 species
GGAGAGGUGCAGGAGUGGUUGAACUGGCUUGUCUCGAAAACAAGUGUGCUUUUUACGAGUACCGUGGGUUCGAAUCCCACCCUCUCCG